rnacentral:misc_RNA from 2 species
AGCAGCCGCGGUAAUUCCAGCUCCAAUAGUGUAUAUUAAAGUUGUUGCAGUUAAAAAGCUCGUAGUUGAAUUUCGGGAUCAAUUUGCUGGUCGUGCCUCUGGUACGUACUGGUAUUAUUGGUUUCUCCCUUCUGACGAACCAUGAUGUCAUUAAUUUGAUGUCGUGGAGAAUCAGGACUGUUACUUUGAAAAAAUUAGAGUGUUUAAAGCAGGCAUUAGCUUGAAUACAUUAGCAUGGAAUAAUGAAAUAGGACGUUUGAUCCUAUUUUGUUGGUUUCUAGGAUUGACGUAAUGAUUAAUAGGGAUAGUUGGGGGCAUUAGUAUUCAAUUGUCAGAGGUGAAAUUCUUGGAUUUAUUGAAGACUAACUACUGCGAAAGCAUUUUGCCAAGGAUGUUUUCAUUAAUCAAGAACGAAAGUUAGGGGAUCGAAGACGAUCAGAUACCGUCGUAGUCUUAACCAUAAACUAUGCCGACUAGGGAUCGGAUGAUGUUAAUUUUUUAAUGACUCAUUCGGCGCCUU